rnacentral:misc_RNA from 1 species
AACGCACAUUGCGCCCGCCAGUAUUCUGGCGGGCAUGCCUGUCUGAGCGUCAUUUCAACCCUCGCACCCGGCCGCUUGCGGCUCGGGGGCGGUGUUGGGGAUCGGCUGCCCCGCGGCCGGCCCCUAAAUCCAGUGGCGACCCCGCCGUAGCCUCCUCUGCGUAGUAGUCAAACCACCUCGCAGGCGGAGAGCGGUGCGGUCCGCCGUGAAACCCCCCAACUUUUCAAGGUUGACCUCAGAUCAGGUAGGAAUACCCGCUGAACUUAA